UACGGGGGGGGCAAGCGUUGUUCGGAAUUACUGGGCGUAAAGGGCUCGUAGGCGGCCAACUAAGUCAGACGUGAAAUCCCUCGGCUUAACCGGGGAACUGCGUCUGAUACUGGAUGGCUCGAGAUUGGGAGAGGGAUGCGGAAUUCCAGGUGUAGCGGUGAAAUGUGUAGAUAUCAGGAGGAACACCGAUGGCGAAGGCAGCUUCCUGGUCCAAUUCUGACGCUGAGGUGCGAAAGCGUGGGUAGCGAACGGG
rnacentral:rRNA from 1 species